GACGAACGCUGGCGGCGUGCUUAACACAUGCAAGUCGAACGGAAAGGCCCUGCUUUUGUGGGGUGCUCGAGUGGCGAACGGGUGAGUAACACGUGAGUAACCUGCCCUUGACUUUGGGAUAACUUCAGGCAACUGGGGCUAAUACCGGAUAGGAGCUCCUGCUGCAUGGUGGGGGUUGGAAAGUUUCGGCGGUUGGGGAUGGACUCGCGGCUUAUCAGCUUGUUGGUGGGGUAGUGGCUUACCGAGGCUUUGACGGGUAGCCGGCCUGAGAGGGUGACCGGCCCCAUUGGGCCUGGGCUACGGCCCAGACUCCUCCGGGAGGCAGCAGUGGGGAAUAUUGCACAAUGGGCGGAAGCCUGAUGCAGCAACGCCGCGUGCGGGAUGACGGCCUUCGGGUUGUAAACCGCUUUCGCCUGUGACGAAGCGUGAGUGACGGUACUGGGUAAAGAAGCACCGGCUAACUACGUG
rnacentral:rRNA from 1 species